rnacentral:lncRNA from 1 species
AAUUGCUAAUUGUAGACAAUGAUACACAUCGAUCAUUAUGUUUUUAACUUUCUUUCGGUGCAAUUUUACCCUAUUAUUUACGCGAUUAGUAAAUUAUAUGCUCACGAGUUAAAUAUAUACUCAAUUCAUUCGUCUGCUAUGAAAAGGGUUAUGAGAAGAACACAAAUCGGUAAAAGGUAUUUGUAGUCUGAUUAAAGUGCUACUUAACUACCAUUCAUUGCACUUUAAAACACGGACAUGUUAAAAAGUAUUUGUAGUUUGAUUAAAAUUCUACUUAACUACGAUUCAUCGAGUUUAACUUAAGGGUUGCUAAGAUCUUACGCUCUUUAAGUGGCCACAACUCAUGAAAC